rnacentral:rRNA from 1 species
AUUGAACGCUGGCGGCAUGCCUUACACAUGCAAGUCGAACGGCAGCACGGGAGCAAUCCUGGUGGCGAGUGGCGAACGGGUGAGUAAUAUAUCGGAACGUGCCCAGUCGUGGGGGAUAACGCAGCGAAAGCUGUGCUAAUACCGCAUACGAUCUAAGGAUGAAAGCGGGGGAUCGCAAGACCUCGCGCGAUUGGAGCGGCAGAUAUCAGAUUAGCUAGUUGGUGGGGUAAAGGCCCACCAAGGCGACGAUCUGUAGCUGGUCUGAGAGGACGACCAGCCACACUGGAACUGAGACACGGUCCAGACUCCUACGGGAGGCAGCAGUGGGGAAUUUUGGACAAUGGGCGCAAGCCUGAUCCAGCAAUGCCGCGUGCAGGAUGAAGGCCUUCGGUUUGUAAACUGCUUUUGUACGGAACGAAACGGCCCUUUCUAAUACAGGGGGCUAAUGACGGUACCGUAAGAAUAAGCACCGGCUAACUACGUGCCAGCCGCCGCAGUAAAAC